rnacentral:rRNA from 1 species
ACGGGAAGAGCCCAAACCAACAAGCUUGCUUGUUGGGGUUGUAGGACACUCUAUACGGAGUUACAAAGGACGACAUUAGACGAAUCAUCUGGAAAGAUGAAUCAAAGAAGGUAAUAAUCCUGUAGUCGAAAAUGUUGUCUCUCUUGAGUGGAUCCUGAGUACGACGGAGCACGUGAAAUUCCGUCGGAAUCUGGGAGGACCAUCUCCUAAGGCUAAAUACUCUCUAGUGACCGAUAGUGAACCAGUACCGUGAGGGAAAGGUGAAAAGCACCCCGGAAGGGGAGUGAAAUAGAACCUGAAACCGUGUGCUUACAAGUAGUCAGAGCCCGUUAAUGGGUGAUGGCGUGCCUUUUGUAGAAUGAACCGGCGAGUUACGAUUUGAUGCAAGGUUAAGCAGUAAAUGUGGAGCCGUAGCGAAAGCGAGUCUGAAUAGGGCGUUUAGUAUUUGGUCGUAGACCCGAAACCAGGUGAUCUACCCUUGGUCAGGUUGAAGUUCAGGUAACACUGAAUGGAGGACCGAACCGACUUACGUUGAAAAGUGAGCGGAUGAACUGAGGGUAGCGGAGAAAUUCCAAUCGAACCUGGAGAUAGCUGGUUCUCUCCGAAAUAGCUUUAGGGCUAGCCUCAAGUGAUGAUUAUUGGAGGUAGAGCACUGUUUGGACGAGGGGCCCCUCUCGGGUUACCGAAUUCAGACAAACUCCGAAUGCCAAUUAAUUUAACUUGGGAGUCAGAACAUGGGUGAUAAGGUCCGUGUUCGAAAGGGAAACAGCCCAGACCACCAGCUAAGGUCCCAAAAUAUAUGUUAAGUGGAAA